CACGGGGGCGGUGCGCGAACCCCACGGCCGGAGGGGGCCCCGCCUCUAGGCGGGCCGGGCGAGGGGGAGCGCACCCCGACUUCCCUGGAUCACAUGGGCUGCGGGGGGCGGGUGGAUCGGGGGAGGGGGAGGCGCGGGGAGCUCGCGGCCGCUCCUCGCUCGGGCAGGGGAGAAGACGCCCCCCACCCCCUCUAGUUCGGCCUCUCCAUUCAAGUUCGCCGGCCCCGGCCGCCGGGAUCCGGAGAUGGCACCAGCCGCCCGCCCAGCCCUGCGCCCUUUUUCCAGCCACCGCGCAGAAAUUUAGGUCAAGGACGUCGGGAUCAAACCCAAACCGUGGCGCUCUUCGGCGGGCCCCGAGACCCCCCAGGAUCGGGGAGCUUCCGGAUUGAGGAGACCCUCCCGCACAAACAGCAGCCACAAGUUUUAUUUUCCUUUGGCGCUGGAAGUUCUCUCUGGCUCUGGCUCUGGCUCCACACCGGCACGUCUUGCGCCGCUCCCCGCCCUUCCCCGGCAGAGGAUUAGGACACAGUGGAAUACAUUCAACAGCAAAACUGUACCAGAUCCACUGUGGGUCGUGGCAAAGUGGAAUAUUUGGAAAAUCCCAACACUAGCCAAAGCCUUGGAUGACCAGAUUCUUAAUCUCCCUGCCUCCUACAUUUGGGAUAAUUCCUCACUGAUAGGAUUGAUGGGGUGAGAGGAGAGAUUGAAGUAAGACUUUGGGUUGUUGCAAUUUUUUGCUGUUAUGAGCAGCGCUAUAAUGAACAUUCUUGUCCUCUGGUGCUUUGUGGGCAAGAAUUUUUCUUUGGAGUGAUGACUGGGUCAUAAGUGGUUAUUUUAGAAUUUUCAACAUAUGCACUUGAUCCAACGCCACUACAACUAUACAAUAAGUUACCAAUUUGGUCUUGAUGAAAGGUGCCGGGGCCUGCAGGAGAAAAUGGCUCUGCCUUUCAACUCCACCUGGAAAUGGUUGACUCGGUGCCGCGGUCACCUUCCCUUACACCUCUGCACCCAUUUGGGCACUUGCCCCAUCCCCACCGCGCUCUGCCUUGCCGAACAGAAACCUCGGUGUCACAGCUGGAAACGUGCGGGGGCCGCUCCACCCAGGCCCCCUCACACACACCGCAGUUAUGUCUGGGACCUCCAAACAUUCCUCUAGGCUUUCACCGUCUAGCGUCCGAGCCCCAUCAGCUUGCCAGGUCGCCAGCAACCAGCUCCCAGCUCGACCCACAAAACCACCCGUUAGUUUGGACAAAUGUUGGGUCCACUUCUUGAAAAUCCUUAGCUGUUUCCCAUUUACCCAGUAUUAGAGGUGGCCAAAACAGCAAUAGGAAGCAUGGCUGUAGGGUCAUCCCGUCAUAUCUCUGGGUCUUCUGGAGGCCAACGGGACCGGAUCUGCUUCUGUGUGAGGAAUUCCAACUUUGGAGGACCGUGGGUAUGACGCCCUCUUCUGGUGGCUCUGGGGAACGCCUUCUUGCGCCCAUGCGUUUCAGUUCCCUCUGCUGGCGGAGGAGAGAGAAGCUGCCUCUCGCCUCCUGGCCCCAGAUGCCAGAGCUCCCGGGCCCUGCCGUCAAAUUGUGAGACCCAAGCGCCACAGAUCCUGAGGUUUCCGGAAGUUGAAACCGAGGCCCACGACGAUAGCCCCGCACUGCAAUUUAUACAGUUACCAGUUCCAAGUGGCUGAAAAACAAAUGAAGGGAAGGGUAAGAAAGGGAGAAAGCACUGUAACCUCCGAAGGGGGUUCAAAUAGGCCGAAAUCACAUCUAUGUAGCUACCCGUGGUAUGGACACACAGUGACAGAGGGAAGAAAGGAAUCAGAGAAAAGAUCAGGAGUGAGGACAAUAGAGGACAGACUUUACAGCGAAUUGCUGAGUAAGACACUCGUGCUAAAAAUAAUACCAUUUGGAGAGGGCAUAAGAAACAAAAGUGUGGCUGUGCCCAUGGGUGGGAGGAAGAAGAGGCUCUGCAUAUAAACACCCAGAAUUAGAACAAGAUGAAGAAAGGACCAUCACCCAAGCGGAGAAGGAAUGAACGUAAGAAUAAUUUGAAGUGAGCCAGGAAAUUAAUUCUGUCACCAUCCUCUUGCUUCUGUGGACCUGGUGAUGCUGGAGGCCCCCCAGCAGUGGAUGGCCACGCCUCUGGGUUUGAGCAGGCCCCAAGACCCCAUCACCCACUCAGCAGAUGCCACAUAAGAGACGAGGGCGAGCCCCGGCUUUGUAUCUUCUAGUCUGGAUCACAGAUAAUCAUGAACAUUCAAAAAAUCAAUUGCCCAAGUGGCUGAUGGGGAGGUCUGGCUUGACAGAAGGCGUUCACGAGGAAGACCCGGGGGGUUAGCUGAUCACAAGCUUGAUGUGAACCUACUUCGCAGGGAGGCUGUUGAGAACCCUAAUGCAAUCUCAGGCUCUAUUAAUAGAACGGCGGAGUGUGGAAGGAGGGAGGCCGUAAUCCCAGUGCGUGCUGGCAGGUCAGGCCACAUGCAGCUUUAUGCUCAGUCCUGCAGGCUAUAUUUUAAGAGAGGCACUGGCAAAUUCGAGCCUGUUCAGAAGAGCAUGAAAAGGACUGGAUGCCAGUAUGUAGACAGCACCGAGAUUAGCUUGACAGUCCUUUUACAACUGGCGAAAUCGGAAUGUGUAUUGCAUUGAAGACAGAAUCUCAGGAGCUAGGACUGAGAAUUGGGCUUUCAGUGUUUACUUAGCCUCCCUGAGCCUGAUGGGGUGCCCUUUCCAUAUAAUGGGGAUACUGCUCUCCCCCCAACCUACCUGCAAGCAUAGUUUGAAGGACAGUCUGCUCAGCGGGGCUUGUAUACUGAGCAUCUCCUUGCUGCCAACUCCCGGCCGGGCAUUAGAGCACCAACAGGAGCUUGGAGUCUAGUCUGUGUUGGAGACACAGGCCCAUCAGCAGGCAUCUUGCAUAUAACAUGACAGAUGAUAAUAGAUACAUGCACUGAUUUGCAAUGAGAUGUAAUUAAUAUCUUAUCAGGAAAGAAUGACAAGAGAGAAAAACAAAGUCUUCAGGGCAUAUGUACUUGUAAGUGCAAAGGGAAAAAACUGCUGGAGGCCAGAGAGGAGGAGAGUCCAUGAGUGAGGAAAGAUUAGAACUGGAAAAUUUCAGAGUCAUGAAAGACUGUUGAAAGGUCUCUACACUGUCAGGCACCACCAAGAAAUCCAGGAGGAAGAGGAGAAAAGUUGAAAUAUUUCCAGACCACUCCCUGGAUGUGGAGGUUAGGCGUUUCAUCCUUAGUGGUCAAGAAACACCUUUUGGGGAAAUGCUGGAGGCAGAGACGGACUUCAUUUAGGAUGUUUGUGGCAGGAUGCAUUUAUUGGACACCUACUGCACACUUAGCAUGGUGCUAUGCACUAUGGAAGUUGGAAAAGCAUAAGAUUUUGUUGGAGCCCACUUCAGUAGUGACUGGUGAGUUAAGAGUAACACGUAUACAUUCAUCAGCGAAGAGCAGAAGAUUAUUACACAAAUUGUUCAGCGGGGUAAGGCAGACAGUGGUUUAAAUGGCCAGUUGGGGGCGCCUGGGUGGCUCAGUCGGUUAAGCGACUGCCUUCGGCU